rnacentral:lncRNA from 1 species
GCAGAGUUGAUGCCACUUUUCAUUCUCUGAUGGACCUAGUCCAAACAAGUUCCUGCCCUGGGCCUCAGUUACCCCUCUGAACUCCCAAUGACAGGCUGGGGCUUGUAGGCUCUUGGGGCCCAAGGUGGGCCUGCUGAGGGAGGCAUGCAGGAUAGGAGUUCAGGGGUGCUCCCCACAGCCAGACGGCAGGCCUUGGGCAUUAACCUGCCUGCUGCUUGCUGGCCUGGCCCAAAUCUCUGUUGUCCUUCCUUGUUCAGCUAACCUGGAUAAGUGACUGGCUUGGGCUGGGCUGGGUUAGUCCUGGGUCCCCGCCCAUAGUGUAGGCUCCCAUCCCAGGCCUCAUACCAGCACGAGUCAGUGUCUUGUAGAUGGGGCACAGGUAAAAGUCCUGGUCCUGGGCCUUGCGGUUGGGUGUUGGCAAGAGCCAGAUAACGGCCAUCUCUGUGUACAGCUCCUUGGGCUGAGACUCAGCCAGCUGGAAGGCCUCUGGAUCCCAGCGGGCACCUUCCAGGAAUAAUCCAUGGAUAUAGCACCCUACUUGGGGUCUUUGUGUUAACUCUGAUGGUGCCUCAAACAUCACCUGUGGGUAGACACAGACACACCCCACACACAUAACAAUACCCAGAAUCUGGGUUAGGAGGCACAAAACUCCCUUCUGAGAGAGCUGCCUAAUGCUGCCUGCCUGCCCAUCAUCACGUACCUACCACUUUAGCCCAUGGCCUGUGGUCUGUGCCCUGCCCCUGUGGAUUUCUGAUGGACCCAGCCCAGACCCGUUCCUGGGACUCAUGGCCUCUUCUGGCUUGGGUCUUUCCAUGCCCUGGCUUAGGGGUCCCCCAACUGCCAACCAACCGUGGCCUCAGAGCCUCUCCUCCCUGGGCUGUACCCUAGCCUGUCACCUGACCUGGCCCUGGCUGUGCCCAGACCUUGAAAUCAAAGGAGAUGGUGUCAAUGGAGAUGACAAAUUUGCGGGCAAAAUUCUGCAGAGUGCCUGUUAAGAAAGCCUGGGGGAAGAAGAAUCCACUGAUCCAGAAGACAGCUGGGAUGCCAUCUUGGAUCCAGGCCUGCAGAAAGUCCAGGCGUUGCAGCAGGUCCAUGACCCAUGAUGACAGAGGCUUGAGCGAUGGGUAGGCCUUGGCACUCCAGAGCUCAGGCACAGUAUUGUUGUACAGGCUGGCAGCCAUCAGCUCCAGCUGAGAGGACAUCACUACCAGCCCCUUGAGUGCCUUGAGUAGGUCUUGCAGUGUCUGUGUGAUCACCUGCAGCAGCCGAUUGUACCUGUGAGGCCAGUGGCAAGAGAAUAGGUAGUGGGCUGGGGUCACGUGGCAGUAGCUAUGCUCCGCAGCUCAAGGCCACAGAGUGAAAAACAAUGGCAAAACAUAGAGGCUAAGAGCAGAGAGCUGGGUCAGGUGGCCUGGGUACAAAUCCCAGCUCUGGCCCUUAGCACAUGUGUGAAGUUGGACUUGGAUAGCUUACGGAACAUUUUGGGGUCACAGUUUACUCGUCUACAAAAUGUGAAUAAUAAAAAUAUGGCUGAGUUGGCCAGGUGCGGU